rnacentral:rRNA from 1 species
AUUGAACGCUGGCGGCAUGCCUUACACAUGCAAGUCGAACGGCAGCACGGGAGCAAUCCUGGUGGCGAGUGGCGAACGGGUGAGUAAUAUAUCGGAACGUGCCCAGUAAUGGGGGAUAGCCCGGCGAAAGCCGGAUUAAUACCGCAUACGACCUACGGGUGAAAGCGGGGGAUCGCAAGACCUCGCGUUAUUGGAGCGGCCGA